UAGGGAAUCUUCGGCAAUGGGGGCAACCCUGACCGAGCAACGCCGCGUGAGUGAAGAAGGUUUUCGGAUCGUAAAGCUCUGUUGUAAGAGAAGAACGUGUGUGAGAGUGGAAAGUUCACACAGUGACGGUAACUUACCAGAAAGGGACGGCUAACUACGUGCCAGCAGCCGCGGUAAUACGUAGGUCCCGAGCGUUGUCCGGAUUUAUUGGGCGUAAAGCGAGCGCAGGCGGUUUAAUAAGUCUGAAGUUAAAGGCAGUGGCUUAACCAUCUUUCGCUUUGGAAACUGUUAAACUUGAGUGCAGUAGGGGAGAGUGGAAUUCCAUGUGUAGCGGUGAAAUGCGUAGAUAUAUGGAGGAGCACCGGUGGCGAAAGCGGCUCUCUUGUCUGUAACUGACGCUGAGGCUCGAAAGCGUGGGGAGCAAACAGG
rnacentral:rRNA from 1 species